AUUGAACGCUGGCGGCAGGCUUAACACAUGCAAGUCGAGCGAGCGGCGGACGGGUGAGUAAUAUCUGGGAAACUGCCUGAUGGAGGGGGAUAACUACUGGAAAGGGUAGCUAAUACCGCAUACCAUCAGAGUGGCCCAGAUGGGAUUGGCUAGUAGGUGGGGUAAUGGCGCACCUAGGAGACGAUCCAUGGCUGGUCUGAGAGGAUGACCAGCAACACUGGAACUAAGACACGGUCCAGACUCCUACGGGAGGCAGCAGUGGGGAAUAUUGGACUAUGGGCGCAAGCCUGAUGCAGCCAUGCCGCGUGUGUGAUGAAGGCAUUCGGGUUGUAAAGUACUUUCCGCGAGGAGGCGGUACCCGCAGAAGAAGCACCGGCUAACUCCGUGCCAGCAGCCGCGGUAAUUC
rnacentral:rRNA from 1 species